CUACUGCAAAAGUACAAUUGCAAAUUCGUUCGAGUCAUUAUGCUUUCCGAGUUUCAAAGUUUUUCGAUAGUCCAAAUAUUUCAAAUUAAUGGUAACGAUAAACUUUGUCGGAUAGAAAAACUUUCAGUAUGGUAUAGUCUGUAUCACCUGGCAAUCUAAAUUCCCUGUAUAGCACAAACAACAAACCGUCGUCUUUUUAUAUGCUUGCAAUGAUGCAUUGUGCUAGACAAGCCGUCCAAAUAAUGUUGGUUUGUGUUAUGUUUAGCUGUGGAUUAGUUGGCUGACCUUGCACGAAGUGUGGAAAUUGUACAAAACUCGGAAGGAUACGACCAGCAACGGAGCUAUAGGCCAAUUGUUAGUAGUUAAAAUUAUUAGUAGUAGAUUAGUUUGUGUGCCUUGUUUACAGUUAUGAUUCUUGGACCUCCAACUUCCAACUUUUAUUCCUUUACAGGUAAUGAACCACAGCAAUAGCAGCCGAUACACCUCGUUCGCCUUUGCUAGUGGAGGAAUCGCUGGCAGCGGCGGACCAGAGGGGAACCGAGCAGUGGAAAUUUGGGCAGAACACUGACUAGUCCGAUGUCAGAAGCCUACCUCUCUGUUGCGAAAUUUCAGAACAAACUUUGGAAGCAGCGGAAAUCUAACGGCAUCCGGGUUCAGUAUGGAUCGAUUGAUUGAUCCUAAGAUUUACACGGAUGCUCAGAGUCGAAGAUUGCUUAACCGGUUGGUAAAGUACCACGACAAAACGUAAUCGCUGUUAAAUAGGAGCCUGUACUUGAAGCCGCGUCAAUUUCAUGUGGUUCACUUGAAGAAGACGGAAAUAAAGUAUUGGCCGAGGAGAAACAAUUCUUCGAUAACAUCAGUUCGGAUAACCGCACUCUAGAAGUCCGUGUUUCAGGCUAACACAAGGUCGAACAUUUUACGGGCGGGACUCCUGAUUCCGGCGGAACCUCAUCUGAAGAUGACCCGAACACAUCAGCACGAGGAUGAGAUUGAUGCGAAAAAUCAUGUGAUUGUGCCUUCAACAGAACUGGCCCCAACACAAGGUGUUCUGGAUGCGCUGAAGGAAAUAUCCCGCAGGAGGAUAAACAAUAAGGAACUGGAUGCCGAUCGGAUCAAGAAACAAUGUAGGGAACUAUCGGAGGUUGAUUCAUUCGGAGCUGGCACGAAGCGAGCUCGGGAAAUUACAUCGUCGGCUUCACUCCCGUCCCGAGGGUCAGCGGAUCAGCAGCAGCUGCUGGUAAUGAACACUCCGAAAUGAGUGAAACACGUAGCGCCCCGAUCGGCACGAUUAAAUGUGAAUAAGUCUUUCUCGACGCCGGUAACAUUGAUAGAGCAAACCGGCAAAAUUAGAAGGUUGUUGUAUUUCACUGACGUCAUGAGCAGCUGCCUUGCAUCAAAUAGACCAGAUAAAAACGCAUAGCAACUUAUUGAGCUAUCGGAUCACCCUCGAAAGUCGCAUCCAUUGUUCAUUGGCUUCGAGAGAUUCGCCGGAAGUCGACUAAGAAAACUCUGAGCUUCCUAGUAUGUUCUUCGUUAUCUCUAGCUUUUGUCAACCAAUGCCAUCAGUCUCCGAUGUAUUGAAAACCUAAUAUGCCUCUAUGGUACAAACAUGUAAGGUUCUGAGCGCGGUUAGCUAUUUCGAAAAUAUUUGAUAGCCUCCAGAUGUUCGUGGAAAUCACUGAAGUAAACGCAUAACCAUAAUUUUUGCUUAGGGAUAGUUUUUCUACAAGAGCAUACCACGAUGUGAUCAUUGAAAAAACUAGAAUAACAAUGACGAACUUUCCCAGCGAGAGCCAACGAUGAAUUUACUUCAGGCUGCCGAAAACACAACACAACUAGAACCGCUGCUGACCACGAUCAGAUUGUAUUGCUCUCCUUCGAGGUUCUACUGGAAUUCACUGGUUCAGCUAUGACCUAGCAAGAACAGGAAUCCGAUGAUGUCAGGUCCAUUGAUUGCAUCGUAACUGCAUUUCUCCCGAAUUCUUGUUUAGUAAUGAUCAGUAUGGACACCGGAGCCACUACCUCUACACAAGGCUGUACAUAACACUAUGAGAGUUGAUUACUUAUCUGAUUAGGGCUAGCAUAGAUAUUGAUAAUAUUAACGGGAAUGAAUUGUUCACCGUGCAUUAUGCAAUCCCUGCACCUGAGAGAGCGAUUCAUGAAGUUUGAAGAUUUGUUCAACCGUUCCCAGAAGUAGUUUUUGUUAGUAUAUUUACCCGCCAAGAAACCAUGUACGUCAGGUUUUGGUCUUCCCAUGUAUAUCCAUCUGUUAACUGUUUAAAAAAUA